rnacentral:rRNA from 1 species
UUCUUUUUUCUUAAAGGUAAUUCAACCUAUCUCAUUUGGCGGCCUUCAAUCUUAUUAAAGGAACUUGUUGAUUAACCGAAGAUACGCGAUAUAUUUAGCUUAAACCCAAUUUUUAUACCGCCGUCCAAAGGAUAAAAUCAAAUAUUUUACCCGUAUCAUACCCCUUAAGUAGGAAUGUCAGGUCAAGGUGAAGUUUAUGUUUAAGUUUCAAUGAGUUAUUAAUAAAAAUAAUUUAUGGACUUUCGUUAAAAAACGAAAAUCGAAUUAAGAUUUAAAAGUAUUUUCAAUUUAAUAUAUUAUAAAGAAUCAGCAAAAAAGGUGUACAUAUCGCCCGUCACCCUCGUCCAAAGAUGAGGUAAGUCGUAACACAGUUAAUAUACUGGAAAGUGUAUUAAGCGUACUUCCUCUAAGCUUUUAGUAUUUCAUUUACACUGAAAAGAUGACAUUUACUUUAUUUUGUUUAUUUAUUUAUAAAAUCUUUGUUAUAUCGACUAUCUAACGCGACACUUCAAAAACUGAAAAGGAUUACCCAAACAAAAUUAAAGUAAACUUAUGUACCUUUUGUAUCAGGGAUUUUCUAACCAUUGUGUUUAUACACCAUCCCGAAACAAGACGAACUUCGUAACUUUAGUAAAAGUUGUGGCACAAACAAUAUAAAUUUUAUAAAGUUGAGAUAUUCUUUUCAAGUCUUCAUAUAUCUGGUUCACUCCCUCCCACUUUUUCUAAUUGUUCAAAGAAUAAGCUUUGUGCACAGGUCUUUCAUUAUCUCCCCACCACAAUUUAGAUUUAACAGUACCCACAUAGUUUUCAAACCUUAUUAUUAUUUUCACCCAAACAAAAACCAAGUGACUUACCUCAUCAACUUUACAAUGAAAAUAUUAGUAAAACACACCUCCCCAUUUUAUUCUCUAAAAACUUUUUCCUUCAUAAAAUAACAUUGAAAUUAUGAACUAGGCCCUCAAUCAAUUGACUGUUUAUCAAAAACAUAGCUAAUAGAUAUCAAUUACUAGUAAUACCUGCUCAAUGAAAAAUAAAUAGCCGCAAA